GUGGGGAAUCUUCCGCAAUGGACGAAAGUCUGACGGAGCGACGCCGCGUGAGUGAAGAAGGCCUUCGGGUCGUAAAGCUCUGUCAUCAGGGACGAACGGCCGGUGGAGUGGAAAGCCACCGGAUUGACGGUACCUGAGAAGGAAGCCACGGCUAACUACGUGCCAGCAGCCGCGGUAAUACGUAGGUGGCAAGCGUUGUCCGGAAUUAUUGUGCGUAAAGCGCGCGCAGGUGGGAUCUUAAGUCCAUUUUUAAAGUUCGGAGCUCAACUCCGUGAUGGGAUGGGAACUGGGAUUCUUGAGUACCGGAGAGGAAAGCGGAAUUCCCCGUGUAGCGGUGAAAUGCGUAGAUAUGGGGAGGAACACCAGUGGCGAAGGCGGCUUUCUGGACGGUGUCUGACACUGAGGCGCGAAAGCCAGGGGAGCGAACGGGAUUAGAAACCCUGGUAGUCC
rnacentral:rRNA from 1 species